GCUUACGGCCAUACCACCCUGAGAACGCCCGAUCUCGUCUGAUCUCGGAAGCUAAGCAGGGUCGGGCCUGGUUAGUACUUGGAUGGGAGACCGCCUGGGAAUACCAGCUGCUGUAAGCU
rnacentral:rRNA from 1 species